GCCCCUUUAGCUCAGCGGUAGAGCAGCUGUUUCGUAAACAGCAGGUCGUCAGUUCAAAUCUGAUGAGGGGCU
rnacentral:tRNA from 1 species